CGUUGCAACACCGAUUCACGUACGAUCAGCGAAGUUAAGCAGCGUCGAACAUGACCAGUACUUAGGUGGGUGACCGCUUGAUAAUUAAUACCAGGUGCUGUAAG